rnacentral:tRNA from 1 species
GUCCAGAUGGCUGAGCGGUCUAAGGCACUGUGUUCAGGUCGCAGUCUCCUCUGGAGGCGUGGGUUCGAAUCCCACUUCUGACA